rnacentral:rRNA from 1 species
AAAUUGAAGAGUUUGAUCAUGGCUCAGAUUGAACGCUGGCGGCAGGCCUAACACAUGCAAGUCGAGCGGAAACGAGUUGUCUGAACCUUCGGGGGACGAUAACGGCGUCGAGCGGCGGACGGGUGAGUAAUGCCUAGGAAAUUGCCCUGAUGUGGGGGAUAACCAUUGGAAACGAUGGCUAAUACCGCAUGAUGCCUACGGGCCAAAGAGGGGGACCUUCGG